GUAGUACUUGCAAGUAGGUACGUAACAUUGCAAAUUAACGGUCAGCAGAUCACAUUAAGCUCCGUUAGUUUAAAAAUUAGAGUGAAUCGACCUUCUAUGAAACUUGAUGCCAAAAUUCAACGUAAGAAUUGCUACUGAUUGAGUUGUGGAAAACCAAAUGGCCGAGUUCAGACAAAAAUACUGAUGAAGAAUUUGAACCUCCAAAAACUGUAUGGGCAUCAUUAGAUAAUUAUUCGCCAAUAAUAUUUCCAACAAUUUAUAACAUUCUGCUGAUAUUAGGGACCCUGCCUGUAAGUGUUGCUACAGCUGAACGCAGCUUUUCCACGCUUCACAGAUUAAAAACAUGGUUGCGGUCACAAAUGGGUCAAGAUAGACUAGUAGGGCUAGCGCUACUUAAUGUUCACAGAGAGUACAAUAUAUCAG